AGGAUCCAGCGACAUCAAGAGAUUACGGAAAAUCACGCGAGAUAACUGGCUUGCACCUUGUUGGGUUUUUUCAAGGGCAGAGGGGAGAUUCCUGGCGUGCAUCUACUUAAUUUGAAGAAGAACAUCACCUGAUCACCUGUCUGUAAUCCACCUGCGAAGACACUGCUGAGGUCAGACGAGAGUGCAUCCUCAAAGGUCUGUGUGUACCUAAAUGAAGAUCCAGAGAAGCUGGUGAGGGAGUACAUGGACGUUGAUGAAUGAAAUGGCCAAAGCCGAGACUGUCCUCGGAAUCGUCAUUUGAGCAGAGGGUGCAGAGGCUGCCGAUGCACAUCUGGAUGUUGGGAUUGUCCUGGAGGAGGUGGAAGUUAUGAACAGCUUGGGCAGUGUAUCUUCUGCAAUAGUGAUGCUGCUGGACUAAUCUACGCACUAAACUUGAGCUACCCUCAAGUUUAGUGCGUUCAGCACUCAACUUGCUCAGUAACUCAAGCAUACCUUUGAAGUAAUACAGGAAAUAAUAAUGAAAUUGGAUGGAAAGAACUUAUCAAAGAAAGCACAAGUUCUCAAUAUGAAACUCGCCGCUAAGUUGAGUAAAGUUUCAUAUG